CCUCCAUUUCCUUCCAACAGGCCGAUUUAAACUGCAAUAUUCAAGAUGAUGCCGGGGCUUUUUACUGUGUAACCAGUCAGUAUGAGAGUUCUGAAAACAUGACAGUCACCUGUUCCACCAAAGUUUGCUCCUUUGGGAAGCAAGUAGUAGAAAAAGUAGAGACGGAGUAUGCAAGGUUUGAGAAUGGCCGAUUUGUAUACCGAAUAAACCGCUCCCCGAUGUGUGAAUAUAUGAUCAACUUCAUCCACAAGCUCAAACACUUACCAGAGAAAUAUAUGAUGAAUAGUGUUUUGGAAAACUUCACAAUUUUAUUGGUGGUUACAAACAGGGAUACACAAGAAACUCUCCUCUGCAUGGCCUGUGUAUUUGAAGUUUCAAAUAGUGAACAUGGAGCACAGCAUCAUAUUUACAGGCUUGUAAAGGACUGAACAUGGUUAUUUAUAUAUAUAGAUAUCUGUAUAUACACACACACAUAUGUGCACACACACACACUCUCCAUUUUCGAACGACUGACUGUAAACCUCCCCAUGCAGGGGUGGUGCCCUGGCCCUGCGGUCACCCUACUUUUCUAAGUCCUGUUUGAGUGAAGUCAUUUUUCCAUGUGUUCAUACUAUCAUCGUAGCUGUGAAGUUCUGGUACAGUUGUAAAAAGAGAAAUCGAGUUGUUCCUCUGUGUCCCUCAGAUCUGCAGCCCACAGUUCCUCGGGAAAGGUGAACCCUAGAACCCGUCUCUGCCCACAGAGGCCUGUUUCUAAUUGUGGUAAAAAAUAUUCAGACAGAGCAUUUGCCGUGGGACAUUUACAGCCUUUAUACAAAUGUAUUUAGUUCUUUCUUUUUUUUCCAACAUAAAAUUCUUGUUUUAAGAUACAAGUAAAAUUAAUCUUUAAAUAUAAAUGUAAAUUUAGUAUACAACACUAAGAAUCUUUAGACUUAUCUUUGUAACUAAUUAGGGUGGAAGUUAUGAAAGAAUGUAAUUCACUAAAUUAUUUUUUAAAUGAAACUUUUAUUUCAUUUUGAAACCAAAUGUUAAAAUAAUAGCCUUAAGAAAUGCUUGGUAGAAAUAUCCUAAUGAGAAAAAUUUGUACUUUUUUCACAAGGUUAAAACUAAUCUCCUAAUCCAUUAAACGCUUGAACAGGUAUUACAAAGGAAGAAAACUUCACCCCUUAUCCUUAACAUAUAUAGUAUAUUUAAAAAUAUAAAAUUGUAUUGUUACUAAUGUGAUGAUUGAUUAUUUAAUGAAAAAGAAAAGAUGGCUCUUUUUGCAAUAAGUAGAUAAAUACUGAAAAUCUAAACUUACAAUGUUUAUAGUCUUGUGUGUGCAGUUAUAUUUUAUAUGGACAACCAAAUUUUUUUAUUAAGAUGAGUAUUUGAACCACUGAAAUUUAAUAACAAAAAAUUUUAAUUGGCAUGAAUACUGCACUGUGAGCUACAAAGUAUAGAAAAUCCUGUGGCUGGGGAAAAAUUGCAUCAACCAAACAAGGAAAAGGCUCAUCAGUUUUAGCAUCUCUGCUCCCUUGAAAUUGGCAAGCAUCCUCACUAGCCUGUGGAUAAAUUGUUUAUUUCUGGUGAUCCAAUAGGCCUAUUAACCUGCUAUAACUAUAUGUAUAUGUAUGUGUUUGUGAAUACAUAUACAUAUAUAGCUAUUCAUCACGUAUUUAUUGAACACCUAGUUAGUGCCACUAAGUUUGCUAGGUACUGAUAUGUAUGUAUAUUUCAAUCUGUCUCUAUAGAUCUAGAUAUAUUCUCUAAGGACAUCCAUUUUCUUCUCUCUCAAUAAGUCACAGUUCUUGUUUGACCGAGGUUUAAGAGGCCCACCUUAUUUAUCUCUGACCUUUCAAGCAGGCUCAUGUAGGAGGUUCUCUUUUCAGGAGAGAUUCAACUGAUCAACCCAGAUAUUCCAAAGCGUGGCCCAGGCAGACUUGGUGUGAUGUAGCCACAUGCAUCUCUUUCCACCAGGCUUCGUUGGUAAACACCCACAAGAACACACCCCCAACUUCCCAGAAGAAAGUGACAUUUCUGUAAAUGUUGGGAACAUGCUAACACAACAGAAUGUGAAAUAAGUUUUCUAAGAUGUGAAACAUAUCAAGACUUUUUCAUCAAGCCAGAAAAUAACAGCUUUGUUCUGCCCCAUCAAGUAACUUAUAUACCCCCUCCCUGUCUCCCUGUCCGCUCUGACCCUGCUUGCACACUGGUUAGGAUCUGGUGGUCUUGAGCAUGAGGGUGUGCCGGGCUGGUGACCGGCAGAACACUGGGCCACACCUGGCCUCUUCCAAACUCAUCACUGGUUCACUGGAAGACCAGAGGAGAAAGUGAAAAACCUUCCCCAUUUGGAGUGCACACCCCUUAAGGAAACCAGUAGGAGGGUGCCCAUCUUCUCUCCCCUGCUUCCCAGUGGGCCCUUGAAGGAUUGCCCCCGUUGUCUGCUCUUCCUUCGGGUCGUCAGCCCAAGCAUUGAAACUUCUUCUGUUGGUCAUCCAUCCGAGGGAUGUUGCUUUUGCUCCUGCCUCUUGUAUUUUCCCUCAAGGGAACCAACCCCCACUCUUAUAAGAGCAGGACCCCAGAACUAAAGGCGUGCACAUGUUGCACGUGGCUUAAAGCCAGGUCAUCCCAGAGCUCCAGGGAGAGAGGUAGCAAAAUGGACCCCAGGAGACCCGCUAGAGGGUAGUUCUGUUGGUUGCAGAGAAGGGCAUCCCUGGUCACCGACUCCGGAUCAGGCCAGGCCUCUGCUGCUUCACUGCCAGGGUCCUCCUCCGAACCCUUUUGUAGUUGAAUUUGGGGGGCUUACAUAAACAAUCCUGAGGCUUACUUUUUGCUCUUAAAUCUUUCUGCUUAUAUCUUUUGCUCUGAGAUGCUUUAAAGUUAUUUCUUGUCUUAUUCUUCUCAAGUUUUCUCCAGGGCAGAUCUUUCCCUAUCGUAUCCACAGGACUGGUCACCCAGACCCUCGGCCCUCUCUCCAUCUCUCCCAGAUUAGACCCUGGGGUGGCAUUUGUGUAAGAUCUAAUCUGAGUCUGUCUUUGGUCUUUUGCCCUUCAUGGCCGUCCUCUCCCUCUGUUGGAAAGCUCGCUGCACCGCAAAGCAGUCUUUCCAGAGCAUGGCCCUCACUGCUCUCUCCCCUGGUGACUCUCUGCUGCCAGGUGUGAUUCAGAGACAUUGCGUGCUUUCUCUUUGGACAAUUGGAGGCCAAAUUGUCACUCCUAAGCAGGGGGUAGCUGAGGAACCAGCUGCUGGUCUGUUGCCAUUCUUUUCCGCCUACGAAAAAUCAUGACUUCUUCAAAAACAUGUCCCAGGAUUCCAGAAUGUCCAAACUGCCCGAGACCAGUGUCAACCUCAACAUUGUUGACGUUUCAUACCAGGUAAUCCUUUAUCCUUUAUUGUGCAGGGGUGUCCUGUGCGUAGAGGAGGUGUUGCAGCACCCCUGGCCUCUGCUCACUAGGUACCAGUAGCACCUCUUCCCUCAGUUGUCACAACCCAGAAUGUCUUCAGCCAUCACCAAUGCCCCAUGGGCACAGAGUCACCCCUAAUUGAGAAUCACUGCCCUAAACUUCACAGGUCCCACAUACCAUAUUUUACCCUGCGAUAAUAUCUCUCCUUGUGUCAGAUGUCAGGAGGCAGGUAGAAAUAUUAUACAAGUGACAUUGUGUCCAUGCUUCUUCCCGUUUCAGAACUUCUAUUUCACACGUCUCUUUUACCACAAGCAUUUAUGCUUCUACUAUUGGUCACCCAUCUUAGGGAUGUUGCUUCUGUCUCUUGCAUUCUUUCCCUCCUGCCGGGGGAAGCUGGGAACAGCUGGUCACGAUCAUCCCAGCAAUCAAAGAGCAUUUCUAAUUUGAUCUUCAAUCCUUAGUUUACCGGAUUUAAAAGACACACAGCUAUUUUCAUUAUUUCUCAUAAGCUUGUGGGUCUCAUUAUCAAACCUUCCAUCGUUUGGGUAGAUUUCCUCUGGUCUUCUGCUUUUCUGCCUGUUUGUAUCUGCAGAAGCUUUGGGAACGUGUCUUUUCACCUUCAGGGAUGGAGGAGAGGGGAUCCAUUCCGGGAGGGGGCUGAUAGAAGUUCUUGUUUAUUGAGCUAAAGGAGAGCACAGUCUACUCUCCUUCACUGUGUGGAUGAGGAAGUUGAGGCUCAGCGUUGCCAGUGACAGGUUAAGAGUGAGGCUCUCACACUCCUGCCACUUACUCCUCGGCCUCUUCUGGUGGAAGUUGUUCCUCUUUGGUGCUCAUGCUUAAAUGACCCCCACAGACGUGUGGACGGGGUCCCUUCAGAAGAGAGGGAGAGGAAGAAACCCGCUGCCAGAGCCACAGCAUUGUCCCCAGGCGGCAGCUGCUUCCCAUGUGGGCAGGUCAGACAAGACCCUGAUGGGGUAGUCGGAGGUCACCACAAGCAGAUAGGCAAGCUGAUGAGCCUUUUUGCUUCCUCUGAGUUCAGUUCCCCUGCCACAGGCUCAAAGUUCCCAUUGCUAAGCAUCCCGGCAGCCAAGUCCCGCACUCAGGCCAGCUAAAGCGCAGGCCCCGUUCCAAGCACUUGGUAGGCAAGUCCCCAGGCGACUUGAAAACCCAAGUCUUUAGGUUUCAAUACUGUAGUGGCUUCAGCAGUUUGUUUUUGUAUAACCAUAAAUCACUUCAGUCACGAGACGACAGUCAGUUUUACAAACCAGGUACAUAUCAUUGGUAUGAUUUUGUAUAUGCUCUGGUACACUGCCCCUGUCCUAACGAAGGGAGAACCAGUCUCGUUGGUCCGUGUUCUCACCGGUGACCUUGAGAGGACAUGUCUGCACCGCUCACGUCUUUAUGUUGCUGUGUCUGCGGCAAAGCCCUCUCGUUUCUGAAAAGCCUUAAAUCUUUGAGAUGUCGCGUGAAGGGUGUGCAGUGCAAAAGGCUGCCUCGGAACUGUGAGCCCUUUUGUAAGCUGGAAGCAUUUCUCUUACUACUGUUACUCUUUUUAGGAAGUUUUAAAUUCAGAGCUGCCAAAGCGUUCCAGUAAGCAGUGCCUUAGUGAUACAUUAGUCGCGCCACCAGCCUUGUCUUACACCUGUUCUCAGUGCCCAUUGACUAAUUGGCCCCAUGUUUAAAACAGAACAAGCAAAAAUUGUUUCCCUUUUGUUUAUUAAGCCCAUUUUUCUCCAGUUCUACAAGAAACUGACUACUUGGUCUACAAUCGGAAACUGAACGUAAGUCAGUCCUCUGACCAGACUCUCAAAUGUAGAUACCAAAACGAAAGGUUUUUGCAACUUCAUAGUUGACUAUGAAAAGCAAAUUGUACUUUUUAAUGUUGCCUUUUAAAUUCACGACCAAAUACUUAGCUAUUUGUGAGUCUUCUGCACUCCAGCAUGAAAGUGCCUUUGGUUUGAGAUUCCAGCUUAGAAAAGUGCUGCCAUAAUAACGAUCACUUGUAGAGAGACCAAAAAUAUAUUGAGAUCACCGUAAUGCCUUUGGUUUACCGGGAUGAGUAACCAGCCACAGGCCUCUGUCCGCAAGAGCACGACGUGGACCCCGCCUGCUGGGAGUCUGCCUGCCGUGGGAGAGCCCCUGCCACCGCCCACCAGGAGCACGCUGCUGCAGGAGCGACCCAGAAACUGCUGUGUUUGUGUGUGCCAAUGACCCUGGUGUCAUCUCCACUCGCCACCCAGCCCUGCACCCCCGUGAGGGAGCAUCCACACCAACAGCAGACUCUCGGCCAGCGGAUAGAUUCCGUGUUCCGUCUCUUCGGAGGCUUUCUUGUCCAUUCAGACGACCGUGCGCACUUGUGUGUUUUACACAACGAUACCAUUUUGCAAGUUGGAAGCCUCAAACUGAGAUGACAGUGCAGAACAAAAGUGAGUUAGGGUCAUGACAAGUGAAGUGUUCUUAGGGCAAAAAUAUUGACUCCAAGUGUCUUGUCUGAGAAACUUCCAAAGAGCACCAUUCACAAUUCGGCGUUUUCAAAGAAGGUUCCAGCCCUCAAAGGGGCCAUAUUGGCUUUUAUCAAAACCUUGUGUACAUUGGGAAAGCUGAUAGAGGUGAGGAAGAGGAGGGAGAAGGACAAGAAGGCAAACACACUAGCCAAACAGGGAAAAAAGAUGUUUCUUUAUCAGUCUAGACUUAAAAAUGACAUCAGACGUCUUUGAAAGUUAGCCUCUGAACUCUCAAUGCAUGUGUUCUGUCUGUCUCUGCCUGGUGUCUUUAAGAAUAUACCCUCUCUGGGCUCCGAAAUUUCAGGAGUGCUUUCUUUCCACCAAGUUGUGAGUAUUUCUAGAAAUUUCUACAAGGAGAAAAUCAAAUGAAAAGGAAAAUUACUCACCACAAAUUCUAGCUAGCUGCUUGAAUUCAGGCCUCCCUGUCAUUGUACUUACACCAACAGCCUGGAAGAAGUUAGUCAAAUCCCCGUUCCCUCUUCUCAAGUGUCACUGCGCUUUGUUUGGCAAUAGUUUUCUCUCAGAAACUCAUUGCUUAGACUGUUCAGAAUGAAGGUUUUGUGCUUAAAAUGUAUUGCAUCGCAAGGGAUAGUGUCACCGAAGUCAUGCACCAUUAAAUAAGAUGAAAUAUUUGUAUUUAUUGUCCAACUUCUUAAGCCGUAACUUGCUUAAUUCUCUGUGAAUCUGCAUUUGCGUUGAGUCAAUCACGUGCCACACUACAUGUUAGUAUUUGAAACGGCAUUCAUGAUCCCCCCUCAUUCAUCCUUCAAUGGGGUCCGAUUCCAGUGGGUCCCACCGGUCCGGUUGGCCCUCUUUCCUCUGGCUCCCGCCACGAGAUCAUUUCCCCUUCCCCUUUCUCUAAGAGAAGGUGAAAGAAUCGAGGCAUAAAUCAAUUGGAAACCAGUCUCUGAUUUCCUUUCCUUUUUUUUGCAUCAGCCAUUUUUGUGUGAUUAGUUUCACUGUGUAAAUUAGGUACUAACUGCACUUCUUUAAAAACAAUCUCCCUGUUACCUCCUUGAAAGAUUCACUUCUGUAGGCCUUUCUUCAAUAGGCUCAUGACUGCAGAUAAAGAAAAGCUAAAAACAAAAACAGUACGUGCCUGAAAAACAACAACAAAAACAUUUUUGUAACAUUGAAAAAAAGAAACCUGAAUAGCCUUUAAUUCUUUAAUAUGCUUACAUGUUAUGUAAAUCGGUUUUUGCCACGUGUGUUUGUUCACAUUCUAAAUGACUUAAUGGGAUUCUCACAGUCUGUGUCUUCAUGUCACGUGUAUAAAAUGGGCUUGUGACGUAAGCGUUUCAUCUGGUCAGUGGUCCCUUUGAUAUUGUACUGCUGCUGGGAGUGGGCUGUGGAACCUGCCUUCGGUGCUAAGGUUCCUCUUGGGGAGAUCGAAGAGAUUGGGGGGUGGGGGUGGACAAAUUCUCACACACAUUUUCUUAACCUAUUUGCAGAAACUCUGAAAAGGCGUUUGGUUAAACCUCUUGGCAGUACAGUAUUCUCGUAUUUGUUAAUGUCUGUGUUUAGGUACUGGUACCUUUUUGUUUAAAAAUGUUCUAAGUGUUGGCUUUAAAGUGAAUUUAUCUUUAGUAUGAUAGUUAUAUGAAAAUUAUAGGGUUUGUGUGCAGAGAAUUUUUUUAUAAAGUGCUUUGUAAAAAAAACAAAAAUGUAUUCUAGCUUUCGCGGUACAUAUGUGUGAUAACUUUAAUAUCCAUGACAGUUAAGUGCAAUUAUUUCAUCACUCUAAAAAUGCUAUUUUUGUGUCAGUUCCUGCAGGUGUUUUCAUGUCUUUGCAAAGUGACACAUUUUGAUGCCUUCUUGAUAAAGUGGUAGACAUUUUGUAGCUUUCUAGAAACUUUGUAUUCAUACAGUAUCAAUGAAAAAUAAAGAAAAUGAAAGUGUGGGUCACCUU